rnacentral:lncRNA from 1 species
GAGUGAGACAAUUACCUUUGUCUAUGUGAACUUCCAUCUGCAGCUGCAAGUGCCAAACAGCAGUUUAAGUGAAAGGAAUACCUCUUGCACAGAAGUGCACUUUGAUUGUAGAAGUACAAUUCUUUGACCUUCGUCACAUAUGCUGACCAAGCUUCUGCUGUGGAAAAUGGGAUACCAUCUUCGUAUUCCUCUUGAUGAUCAUUCUUGAAGAAGCAUUAUUAGAUGAUGAAUUAGUUGUGAAAUGAAAAAGCACAGUCCAGAGUUCAAAGUCUCAGAAAUUCUAAUAUUUCUUGCUUUGUUGUAAACUAAAUUUGGUGGCAAAUAAUGAUGCUCAGUUCUGGAUGUUACUGCGGAUUGUAGUUUGAGGCGUAGGUAGAGUUUAACAAAUCAUAUCUGAAUGACCAGAUAAUAGCAGGUGAAAUGACUUUGGUUCAGGAGUAUUUUACUGAACUGUAUAGGAAAGUUGAGUUCUGUAUGAUUAGACAAUUCGUAUUUUGCGUUUCAACUAGUAUAUUCAAAAUUUAGAUGUUUUGCAAAGGA